CUGCCCGAAUUAUAUCUUCAACUGAAUGGAAAAUCUCGACCUAAUGCUCAAUCUGGCAAAGACUGAGAUGUUAAUCUCUGUCAUGUCUUCUUCCUCCGUUGGCGACCUCCCUUUCCUGUCUCAGUUUAAUCCUAGCGCUAGGAACUUCGGAAUGGCGCUAGACAACAAAGUUAAUACUGCCAACACCACAGCGGUCGGUCGAGUGCGCAGAUUCCUUCCUUUACAAUAACAUCAAGACUUCGCGCCCGUUUUUCGGUUAGCUGCAAACAGACCGUAUUAGCAUGUAGUCACGGCACAUUAUCUUUCCACUUUUCAGUGAUAUACAACAGCAAGAGUAGCACAGCCACAAACAUUACCACCAGCAUGAUUUAAAUUUUUAAAAAUUUUUUUUUACAUGUAACCUAACUCGAACAGGUAGACAAGUUAGCAAGAUACUAUUGCCUUGUACUUAGUUGUCCACGCUACAAAAACAAUUAAACACCAGCAAACAGUCACGGACGUUUUAUGGGACAGAUUUUCACGUAAAGUUAUUCCAAACUGCAAUGAAUACAUCAAAUACAUCUUCAAAGCAAACGUCGGACCUGACAACUUUCACUUCAAACAAGUUCUGGAGUGCGCAAGUGCGCACUUGGCGGCAUGACUGUUGGCUACGGACCAUAGAUGCGGCAUUCCGGACACAGCUAGAACGCUUCCUUUCACCAGAUUAAGACAUCUAGUGUGUAAGAAACACCUGUCUGGCUGUAAUUACAUGUUGCUGACACAAUGCCCCAUCAUAAAAACAUACUUCUUUACUUGAUUUUUACUGAUUAUGUGGUAACCCAAUAAGGUCUUUGUUUGCUUUCAAAUAUUUAGUAAAAAAUGGGACAAGGAAAAUGAGGGUAAAAGGCUUAGCAUAAAUAAUGUAAUUAAUAAACGUGUUCAAUGAUAUUCAAAAAAUCCUCACCACCAGAACAUUCUUAUCAAUGCUGCUCUGACAUUCCAUACCCACAAUGCAUGGCAUCGUUACCCUUACUAAUGCAUCCCAUCCUGAAUAUCUUGGUGCACAGAACAUCGAUUCCUAAUUUAUACACCUGCCUCAUUGUUUGAAAUCACUGGAUCUGCAUGCUGUAUAUAUACAUAUUGCCAUUAUAUAUUUGGCAUAAACAGAUGCAAAAAAAUUGCACACACAAACCUAUGAGUGCACAUGAGCAUCUACGAGUUUGUCAUUAUUAUAAUAAAUAUUAAACUUAGAUGUAGGGUGGAUUCAGCAAAUGUGGGACAUCAGCAAAAGUGGGACACUUAAGCUUUGCAUUACUCUACUAUGUACGAAUCAACAGCCAAUAAAAAAUAAAAAAAACAUUCUUGAAUUGUUGCUACAAUUGUUACUGUCAUUCAACAAUUGUUUUUAUUGGACUGACGUCUUUGCAGUGGGCAUCAGUCCAAUAAAAGUUUUUGAUAGUCUCCUACUGAAUCUACCAAAAAGUGUCCCACAUUUGCUGAAGCCACCCAACUUUACAGAAAUGAAGAUUUCAGUAUACAUUAUCAGGAGUACAUAAUGAUUGUAGGAGAUACUUUGUAAAGCAGAAUCUGAUUCUCUUUAUCGUGCGCAUGAUAGAACAUGGUGAGCGUGAGCACAGGUGUGUCUGAGGAGACCAGGUGAGCGUACGUUACCUAUUGCCACCAGGCCGACAGACACUAGCGUCAGGAACAGCAGCAUGUCGGAGUCUUCAGGGGCCGACGGGCAGUUUGAAGAAAGGGCAGGGAUGGGGGGUCCCUCUGCUGGAUGAGAAGAUGAGUCCCACUGCCAAGAGCGAGCGACAGAGAGCGAGAGACG